GGGAAAGGUUCGCGCUUAGAGCGGGAGACUCUUAAUCUGUGGGUUGUAGGUUCGAGUCCUACACGGGUCAUUUCCCA
rnacentral:tRNA from 1 species